UUGUAAGCCAACUGACGACUGUCUUGCUAACGGUGGCUACUGCAUCAGAAACACUAAUAAAAAUGAUUGCGACGGCCUCCUGUUUCCAAAAGGAUGCUCAUCCGCCCUCUGUUCCUGCUGUGUAGAAGCUACACUGAAGCGGGACGAAUGCAAAGAGAUGCCCGAUUGUCUGCCCCAGAACAACCUCAGUGUGCCAAGAUAAAGACACAGGCUACGAGUGCGUUUGCAAUGCAGGUUCAAGACGACAGUAUGCGGAGAUGUAGAUGAAUGUCUAAACGAUCCGUGUGUAGACCCAAACUCCCACUGCGUCAACAAAGAAGGAAGUUACGAAUGCGAAUGUGACCAGGGAUAUGUUAGUGUCGGCGGCAUUUGCGAAUUAGAUGAAUGUCUAAGCGUCCAUGUGGAGACCCAAACUCCCACUGCAUCAACACAUCCGGAGGUUACAACUGUGAAUGUAACGAAGGAUACCACCAGGUUGAAGGCUGCGCACCAUUAAGGUGAAAUUCCAGGGCUGCUCCUCCUCCUCCUCCUCCUCCUCAUCGGCGGCGGCUCAGUGGAGGCUGAUUGGUGCUGCUGCUGCUGCUGUUGGGGGAAUUGAACGCAGUGUCACAACCAUCGGACGCAUCAACAGAGCAGACAUCACUGAUGACAGGACCUGAGAUAAAUGCAAACAAACCUUUAUGUUAUUACAAAAUAAGUUGGUACUAAUCAGAGUUUGGCUUCCAUUCCUUCAUUCUGUUUGUUACACGAAUCUCGUGAUAAAAAAUGAUUAUAAUAUAUAUA